AUUGAACGCUGGCGGCAGGCCUAACACAUGCAAGUCGAACGAGUGGCGGACGGGUGUGUAAUGUCCGUGAAACUGCCUGCUGGAGGGGGAUAACUACUGGAAACGGUAGAUAAUACCGCAUACCAUCAGAUGUGCCCAGAUGGGAUUAGCUUGUUGGUGGGGUAACGGCUCACCAAGGCGACGAUCCCUAGCUGGUCUCAGAGGAUGACCGUCCACACUGGAACUGAGACACGGUCCAGACCCCUACGGGAGGCAGCAGUGGGGAAUAUUGCAAAAUGGGGGCAAGCCUGAUGCAGCCAUGCCGCGUGGAUGAAGAAGGCCUUCGGGUGGUAAAGUACUUUCAGCGGGGAGGCGUUACCCGCAGAAGAAGCACCGGCUAACUCCGUGCCAGCCGCCGCGGUAAUAC
rnacentral:rRNA from 1 species